UACGGGAGGCAGCAGUAAGGAAUAUUGGGCAAUGGACGCAAGUCUGACCCAGCCAUGCCGCGUGGAGGAUGAAGGUCCUCUGGAUUGUAAACUUCUUUUAUCUGGGAAGAAAUCCAUAUUUUCUAAUGUGGUUGACGGUACCAGAUGAAUAAGCACCGGCUAACUCCGUGCCAGCAGCCGCGGUAAUACGGAGGGUGCAAGCGUUAUCCGGAUUUACUGGGUUUAAAGGGUGCGUAGGCGGGCAGGUAAGUCAGUGGUGAAAUCCCCGAGCUCAACUUGGGAACUGCCGUUGAUACUAUCUGUCUUGAAUACCGUGGAGGUGAGCGGAAUAUGUCAUGUAGCGGUGAAAUGCUUAGAUAUGACAUAGAACACCGAUUGCGAAGGCAGCUCACUACGCGGUCAUUGACGCUGAGGCACGAAAGCGUGGGGAUCAAACAGGAUUAGAUACCCUGGUAG
rnacentral:rRNA from 1 species